GCGGAUCUGUAGCAGUAGAGUAGCCUUGUUGCUACGAUCUGCUGAGGCUCAGCUCUUGUUCUACAGAUUUGUGCUUUUGCACUCUCUCCGGUUGCGACGGAGUGGGGCAGCGUUUGCUCCUCUCCUGUGGCCAUCGUAGACAGUACACUGCAUAUCUAACGUAGUCUGAGGACUUAGAAGGCCUGGCUACAUCAUAUCGGUGCUUGGCUUGAGGGCUAAGCACUUGGAUGAUUCUGUGGUGGGCUGAAGAACUUGCAUGAUUUCGUGGCUGGCCUAAGAUGUUAGUAGGGAGCUUCAGAGUGGGUGGGUUCUUGCCGGGAUCCGAUAUAUGGCCAUAGCCUGGACUUGGAGCUUGGGCCAGCUCGGAUUUCUAGCCAGCUGCCUUACCGGGCCCGUGCUGGGUAGACUGGGUCAGAGCUCGUAAAUCGAUACUAGUAGCAAGGGCUUCCUUAGAUGGGUUCAGCUUGGCCGCAGUGCCAGCUUAUAAGCCGUUGAAAUGUAUAUUAGUAUCUACGGCCAUAGGACUGAGAAAAUACCGCAUCCCGUCCGAUCUG
rnacentral:misc_RNA from 1 species